AUUGAACGCUGGCGGCAUGCCUUACACAUGCAAGUCGAACGGCAGCACGGGGGCAACCCUGGUGGCGAGUGGCGAACGGGUGAGUAAUAUAUCGGAACGUACCCUGGAGUGGGGGAUAACGUAGCGAAAGUUACGCUAAUACCGCAUACGAUCUAAGGAUGAAAGUGGGGGAUCGCAAGACCUCAUGCUCCUGGAGCGGCCGAUAUCUGAUUAGCUAGUUGGUGGGGUAAAGGCCUACCAAGGCAUCGAUCAGUAGCUGGUCUGAGAGGACGACCAGCCACACUGGGACUGAGACACGGCCCAGACUCCUACGGGAGGCAGCAGUGGGGAAUUUUGGACGAUGGGGGGCAACCCUGAUCCAGCAAUGCCGCGUGAGUGAAGAAGGCCUC
rnacentral:rRNA from 1 species